rnacentral:rRNA from 1 species
UACGGGGGGAGCAAGCGUUGCUCGGAAUUACUGGGCGUAAAGGGCGCGUAGGCGGAAUGGCAAGUCGGUCGUGAAAUCCUUCGGCUCAACCGAAGAACGUCGAUCGAAACUGCCGUUCUUGAGGAUUGCAGAGGAGACUGGAAUUCCCGGUGUAGCGGUGAAAUGUGUAGAGAUCGGGAGGAACACCGGUGGCGAAGGCGGGUCUCUGGGCAAUUCCUGACGCUGAGGCGCGAAAGCGUGGGGAGCAAACGGG